CGGGGAUCAGGGUUCGAUUCCGGAGAGGGAGCCUGAGAAACGGCUACCACAUCCAAGGACGGCAGCAGGCGCGCAAAUUACCCAAUCCAGACAUUGGGAGGUAGUGACGAGAAAUACUGGGGGCGCUCCAAGUGAGUGCCAUCCGGAAUGAACGUAACACAAAAAAUUCGAUGAGGAUCUACUGGAGGGCAAGUCUGGUGCCAGCAGCCGCGGUAAUUCCAGCUCCAGUAGUGUAUAUCAACAUUGUUGCGCUUAAAACGCUCGUAGUUGGAUUACAGAGCUUCAAACGCGCUCUCUCCUAAGGAGUGUAGCGCGGUCGAUGCAAGCCACCUCCUACUUGUAGGCUGGUGGUAGCACGGCGAGGCUCUUUUGUCGCACUGGUACUGCCCUGUUUCUUUACUGACGCGGGACAGCUGCCGGUGGAGUGUGCCUUGAAUAAAGCAUAGUGCUCAAAGCAGGCGAACGCUCGUGUGUAAUAGCAUGGAACGAAUAUAUUGGCCGUGGUUGGCUGGUGCAGUGCAAGCUGUGUCAUGUCGACUGCAGGUUCGAUCAGUGUUGGUUGGAACCACGGUCUCAACGGUUAACAGGGACACCUGAGGGCACUAGUACUUUGUGGCGAGAGGUGAAAUUCUUAGACCCACAAAAGACUGACUACUGCGAAAGCAUUUGCCAAGAGUGUUUUCAUUAAUCAAGAACGAAGGUCAGAGGAUCGAAGACGAUCAGAUACCGUCCUAGUUUUGACAGCAAACUAUGCCAGCAUAGGGUUGGAGCGGUCGCUGCUUAACAGGCAGUCGAAUCACUGCAGGCCUUAAGGGAAACCUAGCUUUCGGGCUGCUGGGAGAAUAUCGCUGCAAGGCUGAAAUUUAAAGAAAUUGACGGAGAGGCACCACCAGGAGUGGAGCCUGCGGCUUAAUUUGACUCAACACGGGGAAACUCACCAGGUCCAGACAUUGGUAGGAUUGACAGACUGGUAGAUCUUUCAUGAUUCAGUGAAUGGUGGUGCAUGGCCGUUCUUAGUUGGUGGAGUGAUCUGUCAGGUCUAUUCCGGUAACGAGCGAGACCACGGCCUUUAGUUGGUGGCUAGAUUGACACCUGUGCAAUGCAGGUGCUAGCCUCUCUAGAGGGACUAUUGGUGUUUAAACCAGGGGAAGCGUGGCAAUAACAGGUCUGUGAUGCCCUUCGAUGUCCUGGGCUGCACGCGCGCUACAAUGGCAGCAGUAGAGAGCCUUGCUAGCCAGAGAUGGCCGGCAAAACUGUAAAUAGCUGUCGUGAUAGGGAUUGAGCCUUGUAAUUUUUGCUCAUGAAAGAGGAAUUCCUCGUAAGCACGAGUCAUCAGCUCGUGUUGAAUACGUCUCUGCCUCUUGUACACACCGCCCGUCGCUACUACCGAUUGAAUUGCUUCUAAAGCUGGCUGGACCGGACUUGUGUCUUCGGACACGAGCUGG
rnacentral:rRNA from 1 species